GUAUCUAUUUCGAGCACCAAAAUCAACAAGAUCAAACGUUACAAAAAUUUUAAAAAAUAAAAUAAAGUUGUGUACACAAAUGCUAUAACAACUUCAAUAAUAUUUAUAUUGCUUCUGAGCAGCAUAAUCUAGAAUACAUAAUGCCAAAAUAAUCAAAAUAACAAUAGAUGCAAAUCGAAAAUCCAUAGCUUAAUCUUCUAAAAUUGAUUCAGGUGCAACUCUUGCUUGUUGUUUGAGUUCUCUGCGCGUUGAGUAGAUAAUUGCACAUGCUAAAGCAAUUUCAAUGGCGCCAAAAACGAUUGUGACAAUGCUAACAAUAAAGUAGUUGUGCGACGAAGUUUUGGAUAAAAUCAACGUUAAAAGUAACUCAAAAAUUAACAAACUAAGCAGGAGAGUAAAACAUGAACAAACUAUAAAUCUUGAGCAUAAAAUCCUUCCUUGGUCCAUUGAUGAAUUUCGAAGCUUCCAACAAUCCUCUGGUUGGUGAUCCCUCGAGUUAUUUAAAAGUAAAAUAAUUUUCGAGACUUCAAUAUUUAUGUACCAAGACUCCUAUUUUAAUUGCAAUAGCCUUGUCCUACCAUAAAACAAACUUUUAUUUCUU
rnacentral:lncRNA from 1 species